rnacentral:rRNA from 1 species
GUGGGGAAUAUUGGACAAUGGGCGAAAGCCUGAUCCAGCCAUGCCGCGUGUGUGAAGAAGGUCUUCGGAUUGUAAGGCACUUUAAGUUGGGAGGAAGGGCAGUAAGGUAAUACCUUGCUGUUUUGACGUUACCGACAGAAUAAGCACCGGCUAACUUCGUGCCAGCAGCCGCGGUAAUACGAAGGGUGCAAGCGUUAAUCGGAAUUACUGGGCGUAAAGCGCGCGUAGGUGGUUUUGUAAGUUGGAGGUGAAAUCCCCGGGCUCAACCUGGGAACUGCCUCCAAAACUGCAUGACUAGAGUACGGUAGAGGGUAGUGGAAUUUCCUGUGUAGCGGUGAAAUGCGUAGAUAUAGGAAGGAACACCAGUGGCGAAGGCGACUACCUGGACUGAUACUGACACUGAGGUGCGAAAGCGUGGGGAGCAAACAGGAUUAGAUACCCUAGUAGUCC